GUCUGCGCCGUGGCCGCCGCCGCCGCCGCUGCCUGUCGCCGAGCCUGGCAUCUCCGAGCCCCCGCGCGGGGGGCUGCCGCCCAGCGCUGAUUGACAGCCCGCCUCGCCAAUGCCUGGAGGGAGAAAGGAGGUGUCUUUGUGGGCACCGAGGGAUAUAAUGGUGAGACAUACCAGGGUCUAUAGAGGGAAUGAGGAGAAGAUAAUAAAUUAGUCACCAACCUGCAAAUUUUUGAGAGCCGUAAUUACUGAGGAAGGAUUUGUCUGGCAGUAGAGAGACAGUUUUCAAAUCAGCAGCUGUGUGAUCCUUUAAAAUAGAAUUGUGCUUCUCGUGAGUGGGUGUGGUGAUCUAUGAUGAUAGUCCCAGGAUUUGGGAGGCAGAAGCAGGCAGACCUCUGUGAGGUCAAGGCCAAUCUAGUGUACUUCGUGAUAUCCAGGGCAGGCAUAGGGCUACAUAGUGACACCCUGUAGAGAGACCGUGUCUUAAAACAAAACAAGACAAAACAAAACCAGCCAUACAUAGACACACACACACACACACACACACACAAUCGGUUUCCAGUCUCCCCUUCGUUGUCUUUCCCUUCUGUGGCUACACUUUGCCUCUCAGAGCACGCUCCUCUCUCCGCUGCAGCCUCACUGGUCUUUUUUGAACAGGUCAAAGGUAUUUUAGCUGACGUGCUUUUCCCUGGAGUGUAUACCCAGUUCUUUUCCAUAUCUCUGUAGGUUUUCCUGUGGUAUCCCUGUUUCAGUGAGUCCUUUACUAGGCUCCCUGCUUACAGUAAUAACCCCGUCCCUCUCUUGUCACACACACACACACACACACACACGCACACACACAGACACCUCCCUUCCUAUCUAGCACUGUCACUGUCUGUCAGACUACAAGUGCAUUGUGGUGAGAUUAUAACUCCCUCACAGGAAGGGAGGUCUGCUGAGUCAGCAGGUAGACUGGUGCCUAGCACAAGAUGGAGCCCCAGUGAACCUGCUGGGUGAGGAAUAGCUUGAGGAGCUGUGGAAGCAGCUGGAGGAAGUGCUAAGAUUACCAAGGUGGAGAGGUAGCAGUCAUGCUAGAGGGAAGAUAACACAGGCAGGGUGUUUCAGGAAGCGCAUGCCCUAUGGCGGCCAGCUCCGAGCAGAGCGGAGGAGAGGCUCAACCUUCAUCCUCUCUUCUAAAUGCAGUCCGUGAUAGUUUUCUUUCCUUUCUGUAAAGGACGGUCUGUUGAGCCUGUUUGGAAAAGUGAUGUCCUUUUAAAGAGUGUAUAAAGGUAGUCAUUUU
rnacentral:lncRNA from 1 species